rnacentral:lncRNA from 1 species
UCACUAGAUGAAUCUGACAAGGUCCCUGUCCCCCCCAGGAGUACUGGCUUGCUCUUUUCUCAUUUUGGGGGAUUCUCAGCAUGGGCAGGAGGGCUGAGGAGAGGACACCUGGAGCACUGUGCAGCUGGGAGAGGCAAGGAAAGGGCAGUCCUGGGAUCCUGGCUCCCACACCUUGCUCCCAGGUUCAGAAUAUCAGAUGACUCUUGGCAGAUAUGAAAUGCUUCUGGAAGCCAAACAGUGGUUCUGUUCAUACCCUUUGGACCACCUUCUGUAAGUUGCAAAUCCUUGUUAAAACAGAGUAUAGAUAAUUUCUUUGUAAUCUGAG